AUGGCUCAGGAUGAACGCUAGCUACAGGCUUAACACAUGCAAGUCGAGGGGCAGCAUUGGGAUAGCUUGCUAUCCAGAUGGCGACCGGCGCACGGGUGAGUAACGCGUAUCCAACCUUCCCUAUAGUAGAGAAUAGCCCGGCGAAAGUCGGAUUAAUGCUCUAUGUUGUGUUUUGAGGACAUCUGACGAACACCAAAGGUUCACCGCUAUAGGAUGGGGAUGCGUCUGAUUAGCUUGUUGGCGGGGUAACGGCCCACCAAGGCGACGAUCAGUAGGGGUUCUGAGAGGAAGGUCCCCACAUUGGUACUGAGACACGGACCAAACUCCUACGGGAGGCAGCAGUGAGGAAUAUUGGUCAAUGGGCGAGAGCCUGAACCAGCCAAGUAGCGUGCAGGAAUGACUGCCCUAUGGGUUGUAAACUGCUUUUAUCAGGGAAUAAAGUGCGGCACGUGUGCCGUUUUGUAUGUACCUGAUGAAUAAGGACCGGCUAAUUCCGUGCCAGCCGCUGC
rnacentral:rRNA from 1 species